rnacentral:piRNA from 1 species
UGGAUAAAGAUUUAGUUUUUC